rnacentral:rRNA from 1 species
AACGAACGCUGGCGGCAGGCUUAACACAUGCAAGUCGAACGGUCUCUUCGGAGACAGUGGCAGACGGGUGAGUAACGCGUGGGAAUAUACCUAUCAGUACGGAACAACAGUUGGAAACGACUGCUAAUACCGUAUACGCCCUUUUGGGGAAAGAUUUAUUGCUGAUAGAUUAGCCCGCGUUAGAUUAGCUAGUUGGUGGGGUAAAGGCCUACCAAGGCGACGAUCUAUAGCUGGUCUGAGAGGAUGAUCAAACCCUUUAUCA